rnacentral:snRNA from 1 species
GACAAAAAAAUGACAGAGCUUUA